rnacentral:rRNA from 1 species
GACGAACGCUGGCGGCGUGCUUAACACAUGCAAGUCGAACGGACGGGCCCUGCUUUUGUUGUUUUCUUGAUUGGCGAACGCGUGAGUAACACGUGAGUAACCUGCCCUUGUCUUUCUGGUAACAUCAGGAAACUCGGGCUCUUACCCGGUAGGAUCUUCUGCUGCAUGUUGGUGGUUGGAAAGUUUCGGCGGUUGUGGAUCGUCUCGCUGCUUAUCCGCUUGAUUGUGAGGUAGUGGCGUACCAGGGCUUCGAAGGGUAGCCUGCCUGUGAGGGUGACCGGGGACAUUGGGACUGAGAGACGGCGCAGAAUCCUACGGGAGGCAGCAGGGGGGAGUAUUGCACAGUGGGCGGAAGCCUGAGGCAGAGACGCCGCGUGCGGAAUGACGGCCUUCGGGUUGUAAACAGCUUUCGCCGGAGACGAAGAGUGAGUGACGGUAAUGGGUAAAGAAGCAACGGCUAACUACGUG